UUGGCGGACGGGUGAGUAAUGCUUAGGAAUCUGCCUAUUAGUGGGGGACAACAUUCCGAAAGGAAUGCUAAUACCGCAUACGUCCUACGGGAGAAAGCAGGGGAUCUUCGGACCUUGCGCUAAUAGAUGAGCCUAAGUCGGAUUAGCUAGUUGGUGGGGUAAAGGCCUACCAAGGCGACGAUCUGUAGCGGGUCUGAGAGGAUGAUCCGCCACACUGGGACUGAGACACGGCCCAGACUCCUACGGGAGGCAGCAGUGGGGAAUAUUGGACAAUGGGGGGAACCCUGAUCCAGCCAUGCCGCGUGUGUGAAGAAGGCCUUAUGGUUGUAAAGCACUUUAAGCGAGGAGGAGGCUACUGAGACUAAUACUCUUGGAUAGUGGACGUUACUCGCAGAAUAAGCACCGGCUAACUCUGUGCCAGCAGCCGCGGUAAUACGA
rnacentral:rRNA from 1 species